rnacentral:rRNA from 1 species
AGAGUUUGAUCAUGGCUCAGAACGAACGCUGGCGGCAGGCCUAACACAUGCAAGUCGAACGUGAAGCCACCUUCGGGUGGUGGAAAGUGGCAGACGGGUGAGUAACGCGUGGGAACGUGCCUUUCGGUUCGGGAUAACCCAGGGAAACUUGGGCUAAUACCGGAUACGCCCUCCGGGGGAAAGAUUCAUUGCCGAAAGAUCGGCCCGCGUCGGAUUAGCUAGUUGGUGGGGUAAAAGCCUACCAAGGCGACGAUCCGUAGCUGGUCUGAGAGGAUGACCAGCCACACUGGGACUGAGACACGGCCCAGACUCCUACGGGAGGCAGCAGUGGGGAAUAUUGGACAAUGGGCGCAAGCCUGAUCCAGCCAUGCCGCGUGGGUGAAGAAGGCCCUAGGGUUGUAAACCCCUUUCAGCGGGGAAGAUAAUGACGGUACCCGCAGAAGAGC